CGUAGGGUGCGAGCGUUGUCCGGAAUUAUUGGGCGUAAAGGGCUCGUAGGCGGUUUGUCGCGUCGGGAGUGAAAACCAUGAGCUUAACUCAUGGCUUGCUUUCGAUACGGGCAGACUGGAGGUAUGCAGGGGAGAACGGAAUUCCUGGUGUAGCGGUGAAAUGCGCAGAUAUCAGGAGGAACACCGGUGGCGAAGGCGGUUCUCUGGGCAUUACCUGACGCUGAGGAGCGAAAGUGUGGGGAGCGAACAGGAUUAGAUACCCUGGUAGUCCACACCGUAAACGUUGGGCGCUAGGUGUGGGGCCUAUUCCAUGGGUUCCGUGCCGCAGCUAACGCAUUAAGCGCCCCGCCUGGGGAGUACGGCCGCAAGGCUA
rnacentral:rRNA from 1 species